AUUGACUUGUAAUUUUAUUUUAUGAUCAAAUAUAGCCGGCUUCCAUUGGGCAUGCGCGUCACUGACUCGCUCCUAUAUUAAACUGAUUUUUGUUCAGAAAAAGUGGUAAAGAAGCUUGCUUCAACCACUUUGAAGAUCUUCUCAGUAUUGCAUUACUUCUGAGUUAGGUCUAACCCCA
rnacentral:snRNA from 1 species